AGGAUGCUACCUGUAUUAUAUCUGGGAUAUUGGACGUUAUCGCAUACUUAGCCCGGCUACUCUGUGCCAGCAGCCGCGGUAAUACAGAGGGUGCGAGCGUUAUCGGAUUUACUGGGCGUAAAGCGUGCGUAGGCGGCUUUUAAGUCGGAUGUGAAAUCCCCGAGCUUAACUUGGGAAUUGCAUUCGAUACUGGGAAGCUAGAGUAUGGGAGAGGAUGGUAGAAUUCCAGGUGUAGCGGUGAAAUGCGUAGAGAUCUGGAGGAAUACCGAUGGCGAAGGCAGCCAUCUGGCCUAAUACUGACGCUGAGGUACGAAAGCAUGGGGAGCAAACAGGAUUAGAUACCCUGGUAGUCCAUGCCGUAAACGAUGUCUACUAGCCGUUGGGGCCUUUGAGGCUUUAGUGGCGCAGCUAACGCGAUAAGUAGACCGCCUGGGGAGUACGGUCGCAAGACUAAAACUCAAAUGAAUUGACGGGGGCCCGCACAAGCGGUGGAGCAUGUGGUUUAAUUCGAUGCAACGCGAAGAACCUUACCUGGCCUUGACAUACUAGAAACUUUCCAGAGAUGGAUUGGUGCCUUCGGGAAUCU
rnacentral:rRNA from 1 species